AUGAGUUUUGAAGUGGGUUUGAUGCUGGCCUUACUCAGGCAUGUGCUCGCCUUACUCUCAUCCACUCACACCUGUGCACCUAUAAGCGUUGGAAGAUUCAUCCCCUUGACCUUCAAGGGUGCGGUCCAGGGAAACCAGGAUCGUUGGGUUGAGUCCUCUGCGUUUACCUUUCAUAUAAACUCUUGUAUGUUAUAGAAUGUCUAACGGCCUACGGGCUUUAAUGAAAUA
rnacentral:misc_RNA from 1 species